CUACUCCAUCACUUGACUGCUACCGCUCACAGUGACUACAUCAUAAUGGCCUCCUUCUUCAACCUGAGUCUGAUUGCACUCGCCGUAAUGAUGAUGGCUGCUGGCGCUAUUGCUGAACCAAAACCAUUCCCAGAGCCUGGCAAGGGCAAAGGAAAAGGCAAAGGACACUAAAUAAAAGGACGGCAGCAUUGGCUCGAACUUCUGCGAUGGAAACUAUAAUCACAGAUUAAUUUUAGAAAAUCUGAAUCAAUGAAUAAAACGUACAAUGAGA